UCCGGAAUAGCUUAGUUGACAGAGCAUUUAGACUGAAGAUCUAAAGGUCCCUGGUUUGAACCCAGAUUCCAGCA
rnacentral:tRNA from 1 species